CAGCAGCCGCGGUAAUACGUAGGUGGCAAGCGUUGUCCGGAAUUAUUGGGCGUAAAGGGCUCGCAGGCGGUUUCUUAAGUCUGAUGUGAAAGCCCCCGGCUCAACCGGGGAGGGUCAUUGGAAACUGGGAAACUUGAGUGCAGAAGAGGAGAGUGGAAUUCCACGUGUAGCGGUGAAAUGCGUAGAGAUGUGGAGGAACACCAGUGGCGAAGGCGACUCUCUGGUCUGUAACUGACGCUGAGGAGCGAAAGCGUGGGGAGCGAACAGGAUUAGAUACCCCAGUAGUCCCUGUCUAUUAUAC
rnacentral:rRNA from 1 species